rnacentral:rRNA from 1 species
UACGGAGGGGGCUAGCGUUGUUCGGAGUUACUGGGCGUAAAGGGUGUGUAGGCGGUUGUUUAAGUUUGGUGUGAAAUCUCCCGGCUCAACCGGGAGGGUGCGCCGAAUACUGAAUGACUAGAGUGCGGGAGAGGAAAGUGGAAUUCCUGGUGUAGCGGUGAAAUGCGUAGAUAUCAGGAGGAACACCGGUGGUGUAGACGGCUUUCUGGACCGUAACUGACGCUGAGACACGAAAGCGUGGGUAGCAAACAGG